rnacentral:rRNA from 1 species
AGAGUUUGAUCAUGGCUCAGAGCGAACGCUAGCGGCGGGCCUAACACAUGCAAGUCGAGCGCAUACCUUCGGGUAUGAGCGGCGGACGGGUGAGUAACGCGUAGGUCAUCUACCCUUUGGUGGGGGAUAACCCAGGGAAACUUGGGCUAAUACCGCACGAGGUCUACGGAUCAAAGCCUUCGGGCGCCAGAGGAUGAGCCUGCGUCGCAUUACCUAGUUGGCGGGGUAACGGCCCACCAAGGGGACGAUGCGUAGCUGGUCUGAGAGGAUGAUCAGCCACACUGGGACUGAGACACGGCCCAGACUCCUACGGGAGGCAGCAGUGGGGAAUAUUGCGCAAUGGGGGAAACCCUGACGCAGCCACGCCGCGUGGGUGAUGAAGGCCUUCGGGUUGUAAAGCCCUGUCGGGAGGGACGAAUUCUUGACGGUACCUCCAAAGAAAGCACCGGCUAACUCCGUG